UCUGAAUCUGCGUACGGCUCCGCAAACCAGUUGUAAACUAUAGCAAGUCCGCCUUGGUGCCGGCCGUAAGGUUGGUGCUGGGGCUACAUGGAUACCCGUGGUAAUUCUGAGGCUAAUACAUGAACGUACCCCCUGAUCAACUGGGUAACCGGGAGGUUGGGGACAGUGCGGUCAGUCGCAGAUUUUGCUGGGAAUAGACGCACUUUCAAACCACCAUACAAGCAGUUGGGGUACCGACCUUCGGGAAGGUGCCCUUUCUGGGUGGGCCUUGCUUUGUGCUUCUGACCUAUCAACUAGAUGGCAGCGUAACGGACAUGCUAUGGUUACAACGGGUACAGAG
rnacentral:rRNA from 1 species